rnacentral:lncRNA from 1 species
UAUUUUUGUGCCCUCCUUUGAACUUGGGAUUGCUCACUCCUCUUUUCUCCAGCCCACCGCUUUCUCUGCACACCGACUCCUGGUCCGGAGAGAAGCAGAGUCAGAGGGACAGAUGCUGGGGGAGCUGGUGUGGAAGAGGAGUCUCAAUAGUCAAGCUUGACCCAGGCCAACGCACUGUUGCAACAUCGUUCCAUCUGACUUCCUGAGACUCUGUUACGUACAUUUCCUAUGGAGAGUGACAAGGUAAAUCUUUGGAAUGCAGGAGAGAGAUCUGGAUUUUACUGAAACACCUAUCAGA